CCCUUAGAUGUUCUGGGCCGCACACGCGCUACACUGAAGGAGGCAGCGUGUACUCCUGGAUCGAAAGAUUUGGGUAACCCGCGAAUCUCCUUCGUGCUAGGGAUUGAGGUUUGCAAUUAUCCUUCAUGAACGAGGAAUUCCCAGUAAGUGCAAGUCAUAAGCUUGCGCUGACUACGUCCCUGCCCUUUGUACACACCGCCCGUCGCUACUACCGAUUGAAUGAUUUAGUGAGGACUUCGGACUGGGACCGAUGCGGCUUUCGGGCUGCGUCGGUAUUCUGGAAAGAUGUCCAAACUGGAUCAUUUAGAGGAAGUAAAAGUCGUAACA
rnacentral:rRNA from 1 species